AUCGAGAAGAACAGACGGACAAGUGUUGUGUUCUGACUUCGAGUGGAGGAGAAACAUUUGAUUCGUUACGACAACAGCGCUACGGCGAAGAUAACAGCAAAGUUUCCAACAGACGCUCGCUGUCGAUACCUCUUCCCUGCUGUUUACUGGAUGACCACUGUGACGUCAUAGGGGCUUGGUCCGAGCAACAGCACUCUACUCUAGCUAGAAAAUAUAAACCAAAUGGAAAUAAUCGGGCUGAUGAUACCUCAUUAUCAGUAAUUGCCUCGGUAAUUCGAGUCAUCGUCCCAUAGAUGUAUUGGCAUGAUCCCGAUAGUGUCUAUCGGCUAGUGAUGUAGAACGCAAUGGGCGCCUCAUCGAACAUACGACGAAGGAUUAAUUAGGUACAACGGCAAGAAAAUAAAAAUAAAUAUUCUAAUGUGUAUAUAAAGGUAAACAGUUUAUAUAUAUUUGUAUUAUACAUUACGUAGACAAUAACGUACACGUCAGUUAAGAAUCAUUAUAUUGACAACGCUCUAGCUACUUGCGAGCGGAUAUGAAGUUUAUCGUGUUUUAUAUAUUAUUAAGUCUUAUUAUGCAACGUAACUGCAACUACGCCGGCAUCAUUGCCGUCGUCGAGGUCACAUGUGCCAAUGGAAAUCCCCAAAAUCAGGGUCAACUGCUUUGUAUACGUAAAACGAUC